rnacentral:rRNA from 1 species
GGCGACUGAAACGGGACCUAGCCCAGCGCAUAACCUCGCGGUUCGGACAGAGCCGACGAGGGGUGUUGCGUAUCGGUGGAUCCGUCCCGCUCGUGCUCUACCGCCUAAGUCCAAGUAGGAAUACAGCCCCAGGGAGGGUGAGAGGCCCGUGUGGCGGCGCCCGCGAGGGCUACUAGAGCGCGGGCGGAGGGGUCGCUUCACCGGAGAGUCGGGUUGCUUAAUACUGCAGCCCUAAGACAGGUGGUAAACUCCAUCUAAGGCUAAAUACAACCACGAGUCCGAUAGGAGACAAGUACCGUGAGGGAAAGUUGAAAAGGACUUUGAAGAGAGAGUUCAAGAGUACGUGAAGCCGUUAGAAGCUUAAACGGGUGGAACCGCGAAGGUCGAACGAGGGCACUCACCUCGUCGGGCGGGCGGGACCCGGGGUGCUCCGACAGGCCGGCGCCGAUGUCCAAAGUGUGAGCGCAGGAGCGCCCUGUCCGUCGCGUCCCGUUCCGGCGGGCGUACUUGUCCCUCCAGUAGGGAACGCCGCGAGCCGUGGCGGGGACCGGAAGGCCCGCGUAGCCCGGAUUGGUACCCUCGGUCCGGA